rnacentral:rRNA from 1 species
CCUACGGGAGGCAGCAGUAGGGAAUUUUCGUCAAUGGGCGCAAGCCUGAACGAGCAAUGCCGCGUGAACGAGGAAGGUCUUCGGAUCGUAAAGUUCUGUUGAAGGGGAAAAAGAGCGGAGAGAGGAAAUGCUUUCUGAUUGAUAUUACCCUUCGAGGAAGUCACGGCUAACUACGUGCCGGCAGCCGCGGUAAUACGUAGGUGGCGAGCGUUAUCCGGAUUUAUUGGGUUUAAAGGGUGCGUAGGCGGGCUGUUAAGUCAGCGGUAAAAGCCCGGGGCUCAACCCCGGCGAGCCGUUGAAACUGG